CGUCUGGAAAGGCGCGCGAUACAGGGUGACAGCCCCGUACACAAAAAUGCACAUGCUGUGAGCUCGAUGAGUAGGGCGGGACACGUGGUAUCCUGUCUGAAUAUGGGGGGACCAUCCUCCAAGGCUAAAUACUCCUGACUGACCGAUAGUGAACCAGUACCGUGAGGGAAAGGCGAAAAGAACCCCGGCGAGGGGAGUGAAAAAGAACCUGAAACCGUGUACGUACAAGCAGUGGGAGCACGCUUAGGCGUGUGACUGCGUACCUUUUGUAUAAUGGGUCAGCGACUUAUAUUCUGUAGCAAGGUUAACCGAAUAGGGGAGCCGAAGGGAAACCGAGUCUUAACUGGGCGUUAAGUUGCAGGGUAUAGACCCGAAACCCGGUGAUCUAGCCAUGGGCAGGUUGAAGGUUGGGUAACACUAACUGGAGGACCGAACCGACUAAUGUUGAAAAAUUAGCGGAUGACUUGUGGCUGGGGGUGAAAGGCCAAUCAAACCGGGAGAUAGCUGGUUCUCCCCGAAAGCUAUUUAGGUAGCGCCUCGUGAAUUCAUCUCCGGGGGUAGAGCACUGUUUCGGCAAGGGGGUCAUCCCGACUUACCAACCCGAUGCAAACUGCGAAUACCGGAGAAUGUUAUCACGGGAGACACACGGCGGGUGCUAACGUCCGUCGUGAAGAGGGAAACAACCCAGACCGCCAGCUAAGGUCCCAAAGUCAUGGUUAAGUGGGAAACGAUGUGGGAAGGCCCAGACAGCCAGGAUGUUGGCUUAGAAGCAGCCAUCAUUUAAAGAAAGCGUAAUAGCUCACUGGUCGAGUCGGCCUGCGCGGAAGAUGUAACGGGGCUAAACCAUGCACCGAAGCUGCGGCAGCGACGCUUAUGCGUUGUUGGGUAGGGGAGCGUUCUGUAAGCCUGCGAAGGUGUGCUGUGAGGCAUGCUGGAGGUAUCAGAAGUGCGAAUGCUGACAUAAGUAACGAUAAAGCGGGUGAAAAGCCCGCUCGCCGGAAGACCAAGGGUUCCUGUCCAACGUUAAUCGGGGCAGGGUGAGUCGACCCCUAAGGCGAGGCCGAAAGGCGUAGUCGAUGGGAAACAGGUUAAUAUUCCUGUACUUGGUGUUACUGCGAAGGGGGGACGGAGAAGGCUAUGUUGGCCGGGCGACGGUUGUCCCGGUUUAAGCGUGUAGGCUGGUUUUCCAGGCAAAUCCGGAAAAUCAAGGCUGAGGCGUGAUGACGAGGCACUACGGUGCUGAAGCAACAAAUGCCCUGCUUCCAGGAAAAGCCUCUAAGCAUCAGGUAACAUCAAAUCGUACCCCAAACCGACACAGGUGGUCAGGUAGAGAAUACCAAGGCGCUUGAGAGAACUCGGGUGAAGGAACUAGGCAAAAUGGUGCCGUAACUUCGGGAGAAGGCACGCUGAUAUGUAGGUGAAGUCCCUCGCGGAUGGAGCUGAAAUCAGUCGAAGAUACCAGCUGGCUGCAACUGUUUAUUAAAAACACAGCACUGUGCAAACACGAAAGUGGACGUAUACGGUGUGACGCCUGCCCGGUGCCGGAAGGUUAAUUGAUGGGGUUAGCGCAAGCGAAGCUCUUGAUCGAAGCCCCGGUAAACGGCGGCCGUAACUAUAACGGUCCUAAGGUAGCGAAAUUCCUUGUCGGGUAAGUUCCGACCUGCACGAAUGGCGUAAUGAUGGCCAGGCUGUCUCCACCCGAGACUCAGUGAAAUUGAACUCGCUGUGAAGAUGCAGUGUACCCGCGGCAAGACGGAAAGACCCCGUGAACCUUUACUAUAGCUUGACACUGAACAUUGAGCCUUGAUGUGUAGGAUAGGUGGGAGGCUUUGAAGUGUGGACGCCAGUCUGCAUGGAGCCGACCUUGAAAUACCACCCUUUAAUGUUUGAUGUUCUAACGUUGACCCGUAAUCCGGGUUGCGGACAGUGUCUGGUGGGUAGUUUGACUGGGGCGGUCUCCUCCUAAAGAGUAACGGAGGAGCACGAAGGUUGGCUAAUCCUGGUCGGACAUCAGGAGGUUAGUGCAAUGGCAUAAGCCAGCUUGACUGCGAGCGUGACGGCGCGAGCAGGUGCGAAAGCAGGUCAUAGUGAUCCGGUGGUUCUGAAUGGAAGGGCCAUCGCUCAACGGAUAAAAGGUACUCCGGGGAUAACAGGCUGAUACCGCCCAAGAGUUCAUAUCGACGGCGGUGUUUGGCACCUCGAUGUCGGCUCAUCACAUCCUGGGGCUGAAGUAGGUCCCAAGGGUAUGGCUGUUCGCCAUUUAAAGUGGUACGCGAGCUGGGUUUAGAACGUCGUGAGACAGUUCGGUCCCUAUCUGCCGUGGGCGCUGGAGAACUGAGGGGGGCUGCUCCUAGUACGAGAGGACCGGAGUGGACGCAUCACUGGUGUUCGGGUUGUCAUGCCAAUGGCACUGCCCGGUAGCUAAAUGCGGAAGAGAUAAGUGCUGAAAGCAUCUAAGCACGAAACUUGCCCCGAGAUGAGUUCUCCCUGACUCCUUGAGAGUCCUGAAGGAACGUUGAAGACGACGACGUUGAUAGGCCGGGUGUGUAAGCGCAGCGAUGCGUUGAGCUAACCGGUACUAAUGAACCGUGAGGCUUAACCUU
rnacentral:rRNA from 1 species